UACGUAGGGGGCAAGCGUUAUCCGGAUUUACUGGGUGUAAAGGGAGCGUAGACGGCGAUGCAAGUCUGAAGUGAAAGGCGGGGGCCCAACCCCCGGACUGCUUCUAAAACUGCUAUACUUGAGUGCAGUAGAGGAAAGUGGAAUUCCUAGUGUAGCGGUGGAAUGCGUAGAUAUUAGGAGGAACAUCAGUGGCGAAGGCGACUUUCUGGACUGUAACUGACGCUGAGGCACGAAAGUGUGGGGAGCAAACAGG
rnacentral:rRNA from 1 species